AAAUUGAAGAGUUUGAUCAUGGCUCAGAUUGAACGCUGGCGGCAGGCCUAACACAUGCAAGUCGAACGGUAACAGGAAGCAGCUUGCUGCUUCGCUGACGAGUGGCGGACGGGUGAGUAAUGUCUGGGAAACUGCCUGAUGGAGGGGGAUAACUACUGGAAACGGUAGCUAAUACCGCAUAACGUCGCAAGACCAAAGAGGGGGACCUUCGGGCCUCUUGCCAUCGGAUGUGCCCAGAUGGGAUUAGCUAGUAGGUGGGGUAACGGCUCACCUAGGCGACGAUCCCUAGCUGGUCUGAGAGGAUGACCAGCCACACUGGAACUGAGACACGGUCCAGACUCCUACGGGAGGCAGCAGUGGGGAAUAUUGCACAAUGGGCGCAAGCCUGAUGCAGCCAUGCCGCGUGUAUGAAGAAGGCCUUCGGGUUGUAAAGUUCUUUCCGCGGGGGGGAAGGUGAUAAGGUUAAUAACCUUGUCGAUUGACGUUACCCGCAGAAGAAGCACCGGCUAACUCCGUGCCAGCAGCCGCGGUAAUACGGAGGGUGCAAGCGUUAAUCGGAAUUACUGGGCGUAAAGCGCACGCAGGCGGUCUGUCAAGUCGGAUGUGAAAUCCCCGGGCUCAACCUGGGAACUGCAUUCGAAACUGGCAGGCUAGAGUCUUGUAGAGGGGGGUAGAAUUCCAGGUGUAGCGGUGAAAUGCGUAGAGAUCUGGAGGAAUACCGGUGGCGAAGGCGGCCCCCUGGACAAAGACUGACGCUCAGGUGCGAAAGCGUGGGGAGCAAACAGGAUUAGAUACCCUGGUAGUCCACGCCGUAAACGAUGUCGACUUGGAGGUUGUGCCCUUGAGGCGUGGCUUCCGGAGCUAACGCGUUAAGUCGACCGCCUGGGGAGUACGGCCGCAAGGUUAAAACUCAAAUGAAUUGACGGGGGCCCGCACAAGCGGUGGAGCAUGUGGUUUAAUUCGAUGCAACGCGAAGAACCUUACCUACUCUUGACAUCCAGAGAACUUAGCAGAGAUGCUUUGGUGCCUUCGGGAACUCUGAGACAGGUGCUGCAUGGCUGUCGUCAGCUCGUGUUGUGAAAUGUUGGGUUAAGUCCCGCAACGAGCGCAACCCUUAUCCUUUGUUGCCAGCGGUUAGGCCGGGAACUCAAAGGAGACUGCCAGUGAUAAACUGGAGGAAGGUGGGGAUGACGUCAAGUCAUCAUGGCCCUUACGAGUAGGGCUACACACGUGCUACAAUGGCGCAUACAAAGAGAAGCGACCUCGCGAGAGCAAGCGGACCUCAUAAAGUGCGUCGUAGUCCGGAUUGGAGUCUGCAACUCGACUCCAUGAAGUCGGAAUCGCUAGUAAUCGUGGAUCAGAAUGCCACGGUGAAUACGUUCCCGGGCCUUGUACACACCGCCCGUCACACCAUGGGAGUGGGUUGCAAAAGAAGUAGGUAGCUUAACCUUCGGGAGGGCGCUUACCACUUUGUGAUUCAUGACUGGGGUGAAGUCGUAACAAGGUAACCGUAGGGGAACCUGCGGUUGGAUCACCUCCUUACCUUAAAGAA
rnacentral:rRNA from 1 species